rnacentral:tRNA from 15 species
GUCUCCGUGGCCGAGUGGUUAGGCAGCGGCCUGCAAAGCCGUCUACGCCGGUUCAAAUCCGGCCGGAGACUCCA